CGGUGCCCCCGGCCGCAAGGCGGGGGUGAAACGGGAAGCCCGGUGGAAUGCCGGCGCCGCCCCCGCGACUGUGACGGACAAGGUCCUUUCCUCAUGCCACUGGCCCCAGCGGGACCGGGAAGGCGGAACAGGGCACAUCCGGAGCCAGGAGACCGGCCGCCGACA
rnacentral:ncRNA from 1 species